rnacentral:rRNA from 1 species
CCUACGGGUGGCAGCAGUGGGGGAUAUUGCACAAUGGGGGAAACCCUGAUGCAGCGACGCCGCGUGGGCGAAGAAGUAUUUCGGUAUGUAAAGCCCUAUCAGCAGGGAAGAAGAAAUGACGGUACCUGAGUAAGAAGCAUCGGCUAACUCCGUGCCAGCAGCCGCGGUAAUACGGAGGAUGCGAGCGUUAUCCGGAUUUAUUGGGUUUAAAGGGUGCGUAGGCGGACAGUCAAGUCAGCGGUAAAAAUGCGGUGCUCAACGCCGUACAGCCGUUGAAACUGGCAGUCUUGAGUGGGCGAGAAGUAUGCGGAAUGCGUGGUGUAGCGGUGAAAUGCAUAGAUAUCACGCAGAACUCCGAUUGCGAAGGCAGCAUACCGGCGCCCUACUGACGCUGAGGCACGAAAGCGUGGGUAUCGAACAGGAUUAGAUACCCUAGUAGUC